CAACCUCUCUCACUGUCCCUCAACCACUUUCUCCUUUCCACUCUUCAAUCUCUCCCUUCUCUUAAUUUCAAUUCCUUUCAUUUUCUGGGAGAGACAAAGGAGACGCAUUUUAUUGUCACAUCCAGUCCUUUCCCUCAAAUUGGAGCACAAUCAGUUUGUAUUGUUAAACCCUUUUGUUUUUUUGGUGUUUUGUGACUCAGGCAGCAGAAGCCUCAGUGAGAUUGAUAGACACAAGGUGAGCUUGAGCCCAGGGUUGCUUCCAGGGGUCAUGACAGGGAUUAUGUGUAUGUGUGUCUACAUAUAUUUGUGCAUCUUCAUAUAUGUGUAUAUGUAUACAUAUGUGUAGGAGCUAAAUAUUUGAAAUCAUGUCUGUCCCUGGGUUAGCUCUACUUAGCCUUGAGUCCUGUGAGAGGGGAAGAUCAUGACACAUCCAGGGAUAUGAAAAGCCAGUGUAGCUAGAGCUCAGUGGGCAAGGAGGCAGUGCAAGAUACAUUGUCCACGAAUUUAUCAACUUCUGCUAGGUUUUUUUUUUGUUUUUUUUUUUUUUUUUGAGAUGGAGUCUGACUUUGUUGCCCAGGCUGGAGCUGGAGUGCAGUGCCGUGAUCUCAGCUCACUGCAAGCUGCGCCUCCCAGGUUCACGCCAUUCUCCUGCCUCAGCCUCCCGAGUAGCUGGGACUACACAGGCGCCCGCCACCAUGCCU
rnacentral:lncRNA from 1 species